GACUCCGUGGCCUAAUGGAUAAGGCGUCUGACUUCGAAUCAGAAGAUUGCGGGUUCGAGUCCCUGUCGGGGUCG
rnacentral:tRNA from 1 species